rnacentral:ncRNA from 1 species
UUUCAUAGUAAGACUAUACCUUGUAUACCCUUGACAUGAUGGGUCAAGGCUUUCUAGCGGGAACCGAUAUUCACGACUACAAGAGCUAUUUUGUGAUGC